rnacentral:rRNA from 1 species
CCUACGGGUGGCAGCAGUAGGGAAUAUUGCUCAAUGGGGGAAACCCUGAAGCAGCAACGCCGCGUGGACGAUGAAGGUUUUCGGAUUGUAAACUCCUUUUGUUAGGGAAGAUAAUGACGGUAACUAACGAAUAAGCACCGGCUAACUCCGUGCCAGCAGCCGCGGUAAUACGGAGGGUGCAAGCGUUACUCGGAAUCACUGGGCGUAAAGAUCGCGGAGGCGGGAUAGCAAGUCAGGUGUGAAAACCUAUGGCUUAACCAUAGCACUGCAUUUGAUACUGUUAUACUAGAGUAUGGGAGAGGUAAGUGGAAUUCUUGGUGUAGGGGUAAAAUCCGUAGAGAUCAAGAGGAAUACUCAUGGCGAAGGCGACCUACUGGGACAUAACUGACGCUGAGGCGCGAAAGCGUGGGGAGCAAACAGGAUUAGAUACCCCAGUAGUC